rnacentral:rRNA from 1 species
UACGUAGGGUGCAAGCGUUAAUCGGAAUUACUGGGCGUAAAGCGUGCGCAGGCGGUUCUAUAAGACAGAUGUGAAAUCCCCGGGCUCAACCUGGGAACUGCAUUUGUGACUGUAGAGCUGGAGUGCGGCAGAGGGGGAUGGAAUUCCUGGUGUAGCGGUGAAAUGCGUAGAUAUCAGGAGGAACACCUGUGGCGAAAGCGGCUCACUGGACCAUAACUGACGCUGAUGCACGAAAGCUAGGGGAGCAAACAGG